UGCAGAGGGAGGCCGGAGAGAUGGUGCCCCCCCUCCUCCCCGCCACCCCCACACACAGCCCUCAGCAGGAUGGUGGCUGCCUGGCCGAUUGCUUUUGCAUUUGCAGCAGAGCGGGGGAGUGAGGCCAAGCUGAGUGCCCCCUCCCCCUGCCCAGCCAGCUCAGACCCAGGCGGUGGAGCAGGAAGGCUCUGGGGAAAACAGUGUGAGUCACCGGGCGGCCAGAGUGUGUCCUUCCCUGCUAGCGCACUACACGGCAGGUUUCAUAGCUUGACAGCAAAGUGUUUGAAAACGAAGAGCAGGAAUUCCGCGGUUCCUGCCCGGCCUCGCCAUCCAGCUGGGAGAAGAGCAUGGUCAUUUCCUUCACUUAGUCCACGGCCACUCGGCGCUCAUCCCCAGCACAGCCCUCCCCAGGCUGCGGCAAAGACUGUUGCUGUCCUGCUGAGGGAUGUGCCCCCGGGGAUUCAAUCGAGAUUCUGUAAGAUGUGGGGGAUGUGGCGGGGUGGGGGGUGGCUUCUCCACAUCCCCAGGGCUCUCCUUCUUCCCCAGUGAGGUGGGAGAAGCCGCAGAUUGGGGUCUGCUGAGGAGCGGGCCUACAUGAGGCCCAGGUCGUGACCCAUGGCUCCGGGGACCAGAAGGUAAACAGUUUCGGCACAGGGUGCUCCCACUAGGUCAUAGGUGGAUUCAGCCUUCUCUGAGAACCGAGAAGAUUCUGGAGUCUUUUGAAGCAGGAAAGGAGAUCAGAGGAGGAGAUGGUGGCAAAGCGGGGACUGAGACUCUUGAAAUGUGUUUAUCCCAGGCAGAGCAGCCGCUGAAAGGGGAGAUGGAGAGAGAAUGUCAAAAGCAGCACUGGGUGUUUUCCUGGGGUCUCUCCACAGUGCCCCAUCAUUUCCGAAUCACCAGGCCCGCUGGCACAGGGGUCUGCAGCCCAACCUCGCAGAAUGACCCCCUCUCUGCAGGCGGGCAUCACCCUGACAGCCCCCUCCCAGGACAGAAAACCUAUAGACACCUGGCUGCUGGGUGUCAGGCCACCCGCCCGUUUCUCUUCCUUUCCUUCCAGCCUUUCCUCUCCCAACCAGCCCCCUCCCCACCCGGUCCCCCUUCUAUUUUUCCUGGCUAAAACCAGCCACAGAUACCACCACACCCGGAAAGAGAUAAAUAAAUAAAAGAAAAACAACCUCAACUGUGAAAAGCAGUCCAAAUCUGAAUUUUUUCCGGCCUGAGUUAAUUACACUUUAAAUUGGCAUGUUUACUGAUCGGGGAAUUUCAAGUUAACAGAGACAGCGCCCCCUCCCCAACUGUUUGUACAGUAGAACUCAGCAGGCUGGCGGGCUCCCCCAGGCCUUGGCAGGUCCUGCCGCUCCCCUGCCAACGAGAGAGCAUAACAGAAACAUCUAUUUUUGAGUGUUAGAGAAAACGAAGAUCUCACAGAUGGCGGGAAGCAGCAUUCUGGAUGGUUUCCUGCACCCAGGCUCUGUGCACCUUCUCAGCAGCCUCUUGCCCCAGGAAAG
rnacentral:lncRNA from 1 species